GAUGAAGAACGUAGCGAAAUGCGAUAAGUAAUGUGAAUUGCAGAAUUCAGUGAAUCAUCGAAUCUUUGAACGCACAUUGCGCCCGCCAGUAUUCUGGCGGGCAUGCCUGUUCGAGCGUCAUUUCAACCCUCAAGCUCAGCUUGGUGUUGGGACUCGCGGUAACCCGCGUUCCCCAAAUCGAUUGGCGGUCACGUCGAGCUUCCAUAGCGUAGUAAUCAUACACCUCGUUACUGGUAAUCGUCGCGGCCACGCCGUAAAACCCCAACUUCUGAAUGUUGACCUCGGAUCAGGUAGGAAUACCCGCUGAACUUAAGCAUAUCAAAAGCGAGGA
rnacentral:misc_RNA from 1 species